UACCCCUGAAGAACAAUCUUCACUUCCUGUAGAAAAUGAUUCACUAGAGAAAGAACGUAUUGGCCCAUCUCGGGAUUCUGAAUUUGUAAAUACUAGUGUUGCAGCAAGUUCUUCUGUCUUAUCUGAUUCGAACAAGAAUCUUGUUCCUGAGGAAAAUAAGAAACCUACCGAGAAUAAUUUUCUGACAAAUAAUAUUAACCUCUCAAGAUAUAGAAUUGAAGAACCAAGCGGGGCUCUGUCCGAUUCUUUGGCUAAGCUUGAUGAUGACGAGAUGCUUGUGGCAGCAGAAAAAUCGGCUAACAUUAUGGUAAAAUCAGCAAAAACUGAGUUCACUUUAGCUUGCAGUAAAUCUGCUAACUUUUUGGUAAAAUGAUUGUAUUUUUUUUUUUUGUUCUGCAAUAAAGUUUAUUUCAAUGCUUGCUUUAAUUUUUUUGGGUGCUUCCUGUAAAUGUUUCAUUUUCCUGUGUGUUUUUGGGUGUGCAUUACAAUUUCUUUUGCUGUUUUUCUUAAUGUUCUUAAAUGAUAUUUUUUUAGUUUGUUGAUGUAAUUGUGGUUUGUGGGUUUGAAAAUUGAGUUCUUUCUGGUGAUGGCUUUUGAAGCUCAUUUUGUUUUUGGAUAUUUGUACUCUCUAGAUCUGUUUAUUCACUAUGAUUGCUUCCUUGAAUAUUAAUUUAUUAGUUUUCUAUUGGCAGACUGGGGUUAAACCCCUUGGUGGUGUUCCUGUGAAGAAAAGGAGGUUCAUUCUUCCUCCUUCACCUGCACGUGAUGUUCAAACUUUACCUGCUGUGGGAAAUGAUUCUCUACAGAAGGAACAUGGUAACUUGUCUCAGGAGUCAGCUCCUUCAAGUGCUUGUGUUGCAGGAAGUUCUUGCUUAU
rnacentral:misc_RNA from 1 species